rnacentral:snoRNA from 1 species
UGAAAAUGACGAGCCACAGCACUGGGCACUGAUAAAUAUUUCCAUGAGUGACACUGCUUUUAGUGGGCCUAGAAAACCCACGCAACUGAUUCA